rfam:Phoenicopterus ruber ruber contig51308, whole genome shotgun sequence.
GUUUCUGUAGUGUAGUGGUUAUCACGUUCGCCUAACACGCGAAAGGUCCCUGGCUCGAAACCAGGCAGAAACA